CUAGUAAUAUAAUUCUUAUUAGGUAAUCGUUUAUAAUAAGUGAGAUGAGUAAUCUCUUUAAAAUAUUUAUUUAAUACAUAGAAUUUGUAUGCUAUUAAUCAAUAUAUAUGAAUAAAAUCCAUGGUAGAUACACUAGUAGAAUCUAAGAAACGAGAGAGAAAUGAUGGAAAGAGAAUCUUUCUAUCCCCCAAAAAAAGGACAGUUUAUUCUUUAUAGCAUGCAUUAAUAUGGCAAAGAAAAAUAUUGUUGCUUCUUGAUUUAUGCUUCUCUCUCUGCCUUCUUUUUCUUCUCAUCCACAAACUCAUCAAUGACAAGCACCCACCUAAUUGCCUGCUCUCCAUCUGUUUCACUUUCUUUCUCUGCCCCUGCAACAACUGCUCCUCAUUGUUUUUCGUGUCUUCUUCCCCUGAUCCAGAUGUUUCUUUCACUUCAACCUGGGCAUACAUCUACGGUUACUGUCAUAGGUAAGCUAGCGUUUGACGAUACAUUCCAAAUAGGCCUAAGAGUUUUGCUAAACAUAUUCAAAGCUUAAACAAAUUAAUAAAAAAAAUUAUCGAUAAAUAGUGUUUCAAAAUUUUUAAAAUUAAUCUAAAUUUAAUUGAACUAUAAUUUUAUAAAUCAAAAUUAACAUUAAAAAAAUAACUGUUAUGAAAUAGAAGAUUCUUACACUUCUAUUUAAGGUGAAUGUCUUUAAUGUAUUU
rnacentral:lncRNA from 1 species